rnacentral:rRNA from 1 species
CACCGCGGUUAGACGAGAGGCCCAAGUGGAUAGACAACGGCGUAAAGGGUGGUUAGGGGUCACAACAAACUAAAGCUGAAUGCUCUCAAGACUGUUAUAUGCGUUCGAGACUUUGAAACCCAACUACGAAAGUGGCUUUACUAGACCUGAACCCACGAAAGCUAAGGAA